rnacentral:lncRNA from 1 species
UGGUAUCCCUAUUGUAACGAAUAUUUUUUCCUUUCGGACCUCGUAGGUUGGUCUCCAUUUCAUCGUAAUUUAUCUUGCUCGGUCCAAUGGACGGAUGUCGUAGACUUCAAUAAAAAUUUUAUUUUAUUAAUUAUUUUAUUUCAAAAUUUAUUUCAUUCUAUUUUUUUAUUUUUGAUUGGUGUUGGAAAAAGAUGGAAGAGCAGUAAAUUUUUUGUUAAAAAAAGUGACAUGGUUAUUUGUUUCAAUCAUGCUCACAAAAUCCAGCAUGCCCCU